AGGGUGUAAACGCUGCAGACUUGGUGUUGGAAGUCCUUUGGGGGCAUUCAGUGCCGGAGAGAAGUUGUUAAGUCUGCUACUUGGGAGUACGUCCGCAAGGAUGAAACUUAAAGGAAUUGGCGGGGGGAGGCACCGCAACGGGAGGAGCGUGCGGUUUAAUUGGAUUCAACACCGUAAAACUCACCAGGGAAGACUGUUACAUGAAAGCCGAGAUGAAGACUCUGCUAGAUUUUCAGAGAGGAGGUGCAUGGCGUCAGUGACU
rnacentral:rRNA from 1 species